rnacentral:lncRNA from 1 species
GUUGUAGAAGUUAAUUAAGGUGCCAUUGCUGUGAUAGUUGUGAGCCGGGAUAAGCUUGGUGCUACCUCUUUUCUUUUGUUUGUUAUUUUCUUUGAAUAAGAGGAUUGAGAGUUUCUGAAUAUUAUAAAGUGAAUUAUGGAAUGGAAAUGUGAUUGGUAUUAUUUGAGAAGAAGAAAGAUUAAAUGCUGAAAUCUAAUUGUACUUCAGCAGAGAGAAUGAAUCUGUAUUUGUGUGAAACAUCGUAAUGUGAAUGGCAGUUCUAUGUGAAGAAUUCCUGUGAUUGGAAUGAGGGUAAUUGUGUGUUGAAAGUUGUGAGGGCGCAAUAUUAUAAUUAAAGAUUAUGAAGG